GUAUCCGUAAAGUUGAUUGUAGCGCCCUUCACACGGGUGGGGUCGCAAGUUCAAUCCUUGCCGCGCCCACCA
rnacentral:tRNA from 1 species